UGGGGAAUAUUGGACAAUGGGCGCAAGCCUGAUCCAGCCAUGCCGCGUGAGUGAUGAAGGCCCUAGGGUUGUAAAGCUCUUUCACCGGUGAAGAUAAUGACGGUAACCGGAGAAGAAGCCCCGGCUAACUUCGUGCCAGCAGCCGCGGUAAUACGAAGGGGGCUAGCGUUGUUCGGAUUUACUGGGCGUAAAGCGCACGUAGGCGGACUUUUAAGUCAGGGGUGAAAUCCCGGGGCUCAACCCCGGAACUGCCUUUGAUACUGGAAGUCUUGAGUAUGGUAGAGGUGGGUGGAAUUCCGGGUGUAGAGGUGAAAUUCGUAGAUAUUCGGAGGAAAACCAGUGGCGAAGGCGGCUCACUGGACCAUUACUGACGCUGAGGUGCGAAAGCGUGGGGAGCAAACAGG
rnacentral:rRNA from 1 species